rnacentral:rRNA from 1 species
UGAGUUUGAUCCUGGCUCAGAUUGAACGCUGGCGGCAUGCCUUACACAUGCAAGUCGAACGGCAGCGCGGGGCAACCUGGCGGCGAGUGGCGAACGGGUGAGUAAUAUAUCGGAACAUACCCUGGAGUGGGGGAUAACGUAGCGAAAGUUACGCUAAUACCGCAUACGCACUAAGGUGGAAAGCGGGGGAUCGCAAGACCUCGUGCUCAUGGAGUGGCCGAUAUCUGAUUAGCUAGUUGGUAGGGUAAAAGCCUACCAAGGCGACGAUCAGUAGCUGGUUUGAGAGAACGACCAGCCACACUGGAACUGAGACACGGUCCAGACUCCUACGGGAGGCAGCAGUGGGGAAUUUUGGACAAUGGGGGCAACCCUGAUCCAGCAAUGCCGCGUGAGUGAAGAAGGCCCUCGGGUUGUAAAGCUCUUUUGUCAGGGAAGAAACGGUGGUUCCUAAUACGGACUGCUAAUGACGGUACCUGAAGAAUAAGCACCGGCUAAUUACGUGCCAGCAGCCGCGGUAAUACGUAGGGUGCAAGCGUUAAUCGGAAUUACUGGGCGUAAAGCGUGCGCAGGCGGUUUUAUAAGUCUGAUGUGAAAUCCCCGGGCUCAACCUGGGAACUGCAUUGGAGACUGUAAGGCUAGAGUGUGUCAGAGGGGGGUAGAAUUCCACGUGUAGCAGUGAAAUGCGUAGAUAUGUGGAGGAAUACCGAUGGCGAAGGCAGCCCCCUGGGAUAACACUGACGCUCAUGCACGAAAGCGUGGGGAGCAAAACAGGAUUAGAUACCCUGGUAGACCACGCCCUAAACGAUGUCUACUAGUUGUCGGGUCUUAAUUGACUUGGUAACGCAGCUAACGCGUGAAGUAGACCGCCUGGGGAGUACGGUCGCAAGAUUAAAACUCAAAGGAAUUGACGGGGACCCGCACAAGCGGUGGAUGAUGUGGAUUAAUUCGAUGCAACGCGAAAAACCUUACCUACCCUUGACAUGGAAGGAACCCCGAAGAGAUUUGGGGGUGCUCGAAAGAGAACCUUUACACGAAUGCUGC